UCUACUGUGUUCAAAUAAUUUUAAAUAAUGGAAUCGAAAAAAAAAUCCAAAGAAAAAAGAAGGAGCAAUGAUAAAAGAAAAGAAAAAUCACGAGAUGCAGCAAGAUGUCGAAGAAGUCGUGAGACAGAUAUUUUUUUAAAUAUGGCAGCAGCAUUACCUAUUUCUCCUGAUGAAGUAAUACAUUUAGACAAAGCAAGCGUGAUGAGACUAGCAAUAGCCUACUUAAAAAUUCGUAGUGUUGCCAAUGCUUUAAAGAAACCAUUUACAAAAAUUGAAUCAACAAUCGAAGCAGAUGAAUUUUUUCCUCAGGCUUUGGAUGGAUUCAUGUUAGUAAUUGCCAGUAAUGGAGAUAUGGUUUAUCUUUCUGAAAAUGUUAGUGAUUAUUUAGGGAUUUCUCAGCUGGAUAUGAUUGGUCAAAGUGUUUACGAUUAUAGUCAUCCUUGUGACCAUGAAGAAAUUAAAGAAUAUUUAUUAAUGGAAUCUAACAGCGUUAACGAAAUGUGUUCUUGUAAUUUCUUUAUUCGGUUCAAAUGCACAUUAACUAACAAAGGAAAAAAAGUUAAUCUCAAGAGUGCUUCAUACAAAGUAAUUCAUUGCACUGGCCGUCUAAUGAUAAGUGGGGGUCCUGAAGUGAAUGAUAAGAAAAUGGGUAACGAUAUUGACGAAACUUUGUCCGGUUCAAGAUCAGAAGAUCAAAGUGAAAUCGGAACAGAAAAUACAUAUGGAUCUAUCGGUACUGCGUUAGUAAUGGUUGGAUGCCCAAUACCUCAUCCAAGCAACAUUGAGAUUCCCCUGGGUCGUCAAACAUUUUUGUCUAAACAUAAUCUUAACAUGAAAUUUACAUAUGUCGAUGAAAGAUUGGCUGAAUUUUUUGGCUGGGGUAAUGAUGAGUUAAUUGGUAAAUCAAUUUUUGAGCUUCAUCAUGCUCUCGAUAACGAUGCUCUCGAUAAAUCUUUCAAAUGUCUAUUUAGCAAAGGCCAGUGUGAAACUGUCGCUUAUCGAUUUCUCGGCAGAACAGGAGGUUAUGCUUGGGUUGUAACUCAAGCUACUGUUAUUCACUGUACGAAGAGACGUAAACCAUUGUCAAUUGUUUGUGUGAAUUAUAUACUAAGUGGUAUUGAAUAUGGAGAUGAGGUGUACAGCAUAUGUCAAUUGGAAGCUCGAAAUUCUUGCAAUGAUUUGAAAAAAAACAAGAAGGUUGAUGAAGGAAAAAUAGAUACUAAAAUAAUACAAAAUAAUAAUGAUUUAUCGAAAUCUAUACAAAAAGUAACUUCGUCACCAAUUUGUCAAAUACCUAAAAGUGAUUCACCUAUGCCUAUAAUAUCUCCUCACCGUGAUAUUGGAGCCUCAGUAAUUACGAAUAAGAAGAAAGAUUCAAAUACAGAAUUCAUAUUCCAGAAUAAACCUGUGAUCGAUUACAACUCUACUCGAUCUUGUAACGAUCCAUCUCAAUCAGUUACAAAAAAAAUAUUUGGUGAUUCUUCCAUUGGUACUACAUCUGAUCAAGAUACUCUGUUAUCAAUUACAAACCGUUCAUCACCACAAACAGCCACUGCAAGUAUUUUCGCUCCACGAACGGAGGAUAUGAAUAAAGGUUUCCUCACUUUCAGUGACGAUCAACCAGGAUUAACAAUGCUUAAAGAUGAACCGGAAGAUUUAACUCAUUUAGCACCAACGCCAGGAGAUGUAUGCGUUCCUCUUGAAGACACACCAUUUCUCUCAGAUAUGCUAGACGAAUUCAUGUUAAGUAAUGAAAAUUAUUGUACAUUGUUAAGUCCAAUGAUACCAACAGAACUUCCCGAUUCUAAUUCUGGACUCAUGGAAGAUACAAUUCAAAAAAAUGAUAAUUUUGGAGAAACUCUUGAUAGUGAUCCGUUUUUCUAUACGAAUCCAUGCUCAAAUCUCGAUUCAUCUCAAUCCACUACGAUUAAUCUUACGAAUACCCCAACUAAAAGCCCCAAAUUAUUUAGUAUAGAUUUACUACAUAAUUCUGAUACAAGUAACAUUGCAACUGAUUCUGGAAUUUCAGAAGAUGAAUUACUCAUGUUAAAUAUAGAUGAAGUUAUUGCUGAUGAUGAACUUGCAUUGCGCGCUCCUUAUAUUCCUAUGUCAGAUCAAGAUGAGGCUCUACAGAUGCUUAUCAGCGACAAUAUGGUUAUGUGGGGACCGACACAACCUCCUGAUAGAUCUGAUUGGGACUCAAAAAGAGAUAGUUCUGAUUACUAUAAAGAAUCUAGCCUAGCAAAAUUAUUGAAAAACAAUAAAAACUCAAAUAAAUACGAUUCUAUUUCUACGGUGAAUUUAAUUGAAGAACGUGAUCAAAAUCUUAAAAUAGGAGUAAACAAGAGAUCUAAUAAACGUCUACAUGAAACAUCGUCAUUGAACACCGUAGAAGUGAAUAAGCGUAUGAAAUGUCAGAUGAUGGAUAAAAAUACAUUAAUCGCUGCCAAAAAAUCAUCAGAAACAGACUUAUUUCAUACAGUUGAAUACACGAUUAGUGUAGACGGUAUGAAUCAAAAAAAUAUCCGAAUCAAUUAUAAUAAUUUUGCUGAUACUAAAGCAAAUAAAAUGCGUUUGUUGCAACAACUUAUAGAAGAUCGUGAGCUGUCAACUACGGCCAAAUCCUCUAAUUUAAACAAUGUGGUUAAUCGUAAAGAACAUUUGGACACGAUCAAUCUAGUGGGUGAUGCUGAUGGUGACGAUGAAAAUCUACAAGAUCAUCAAUCCAAUAGCGUUCUAAUGAACCUCCUUAUUUCUGGUUGCGAUGUGAGUGCAGGCUAUGUUUGUUUCGUUAAACCAAAAUCUGCAUCUAAAGUAAUUACUAGUAAAUGAAUAGUAGAUAUGCAAGAUUAUUUUCUUCAAUAAAUUUAAAACCAUAAAAUAUUGAAUGAAAAUCUUUUAAGUAUUUAUAUAAAAUGUAUGUGGACCUGCCUACACUGUUAGAAGAAAAACUGCGAAUACCGUUAUCCAUCAACAUAACUGAAGAUCACUGAAAUAUCAUGACGUCUAAUGUAAACAAGCUUGCAAUAUUUCUUCUUAAUGUAUAAGAUAACUGCAUUUAAGCAAUUGAUUUACUGUCUUGAAUUCAAUUUUAUUACUAUCGUUUCUAUAAAUUAUAAUCUAAAAUAUACUUGUUUAAAAUACUAUUUUUAUUAGGUUUUAUGUCUUUCAAAAUGAUGAAUAUGUUAAUAAACAACUUAAUAUAAACUUUUAUAUAUGUUUGGAUGUUAAUCGAAUCAAUUAUAAAGCUAAUUAAUAAUAAAGAAAAAUAAAAUGAA